rnacentral:rRNA from 1 species
ACAUGCAAGUCGAGCGGCAGCACAAGUAAGUUUACUUAUGAGGUGGCGAGCGGCGGACGGGUGAGUAAUGCCUAGGGAUCUGCCCAGUCGAGGGGGAUAACAGUUGGAAACGACUGCUAAUACCGCAUACGCCCUACGGGGGAAAGAGGGGGACCUUCGGGCCUCUCGCGAUUGGAUGAACCUAGGUGGGAUUAGCUAGUUGGUGAGGUAAUGGCUCACCAAGGCGACGAUCCCUAGCUGUUCUGAGAGGAUGAUCAGCCACACUGGGACUGAGACACGGCCCAGACUCCUACGGGAGGCAGCAGUGGGGAAUAUUGCACAAUGGGGGAAACCCUGAUGCAGCCAUGCCGCGUGUGUGAAGAAGGCCUUCGGGUUGUAAAGCACUUUCAGUAGGGAGGAAAGGGUGAGUCUUAAUACGGCUCAUCUGUGACGUUACCUACAGAAGAAGGACCGGCUAACUCCGUGCCAGCAGCCGCGGUAAUACGGAGGGUCCGAGCGUUAAUCGGAAUUACUGGGCGUAAAGCGUGCGCAGGCGGUUUGUUAAGCGAGAUGUGAAAGCCCUGGGCUCAACCUAGGAAUAGCAUUUCGAACUGGCGAACUAGAGUCUUGUAGAGGGGGGUAGAAUUCCAGGUGUAGCGGUGAAAUGCGUAGAGAUCUGGAGGAAUACCGGUGGCGAAGGCGGCCCCC